AGAGAUUCUUGUCACAGUUUCUAGUCAUUUAUAGGCCUAUUCAUCUGUCAUCUUUUCUUCUUAAGAGUGUAGAGAUUCCAUGAGACCAACAUACUGCAUUCUACCAAAUUAAUUGGUUAGUUGCCCAUCCUUGUCAGUCAUUCCCGGAUUGAAGCUUUUGAUUGAGCAAACUCAAACUGACAUUUGUGGAUAGAGCUCUUUUCAGUAAUUUCUUGAUCUGGUAUGGAAGCUUAUUAGUCUGCGAAAGCAAAGAAAACCAAGCGGUGGCCAAGAAUUUUGAGCACAUUUUGAAGAAGACACGGUGAAGACAUCUUUGCGUUAUUUGUGAAGACAUCCAACUGAGGCAAGGAGAAGAGAUGUGGCAAUAGCAAGAGAGCACAUUCCAGUUGCUAUUUCUCAACAAUCAUAGUAGUGAGUAGGUUUCAUACUGAAACAGAAUCAUGUGAGCUAAUAGCAACAUAAUGUUGCAUAGCUUUUAAGUGUUUAUUCUACGCUGUUGAUAUGGAUGCUGCUCCGGAUUUUUCAACAUGCGGUUCCUUUGGAUGGAAAGAGUAUAUCCUUGUUACCGAUUAAUACUCCCCAUAAUAUGUUUGGUUGUUCAAUAAGUUCCAAACCUUGAGAGGAGGGUCGCGCCGUGCAGGGGAGAGAGGCAGAUUUGCAGCAUCUAGAGAUCGAAUCA
rnacentral:lncRNA from 1 species